ACCUGGGUGGCUCAGUUGGUUGAACGUCUGACUUUGGCUCAGGUCACGAUCUCUCAGUUCGUGGGUUCAAGCCCCGCAUCAGGUU
rfam:Felis catus isolate Cinnamon breed Abyssinian chromosome A3, whole genome shotgun sequence.